rnacentral:rRNA from 1 species
AUCGAACGCUGGCGGCAUGCCUUACACAUGCAAGUCGAACGGUAACGGGCCUUCGGGUGCCGACGAGUGGCGAACGGGUGAGUAAUGUAUCGGAACGUACCUUUCAGUGGGGGAUAACGUAGCGAAAGGUGCGCUAAUACCGCAUAUUCCGUGCGCAGGAAAGCAAGGAACCUACGGGCCUUGCGCUGAUUGAGCGGCAGAUAUCAGAUUAGCUAGUUGUUGAGGUAAAGGCUCACCAAGGCGACGAUCUGUAGCGGGUCUGAGAGGAUGAUCCGCCACAAUGGAACUGAGACACGGUCCAGACUCCUACGGGAGGCAGCAGUGGGGAAUUUUGGACAAUGGGGGCAACCCUGAUCCAGCCAUGCCGCGUGAGUGAAGAAGGCCUUCGGGUUGUAAAGCUCUUUCGGCCGGGAAGAAAUCGUAUCAGCUAAUACCUGGUGCGGAUGACGGUACCGGCAUAAGAAGCACCGGCUAACUACGUGCCAGCCGCCGCAGUAACAC